ACUGACCUUUGUUUGACGGUAAUCAAUUAGAAAGUCACGGCUAACUACGUGCCAGCAGCCGCGGUAAUACGUAGGUGGCAAGCGUUGUCCGGAUUUAUUGGGCGUAAAGCGAGUGCAGGCGGCUCGAUAAGUCUGAUGUGAAAGCCUUCGGCUCAACCGGAGAAUUGCAUCAGAAACUGUCGAGCUUGAGUACAGAAGAGGAGAGUGGAA
rnacentral:rRNA from 1 species